GCGGUCAGCGGCCCUGAGCUGCGGUGACCGCCGGCACGCGGCGGCCGGUGAUCGGAAGUGGACCGGGAGAGCAUGGAGCGGACGGUGCUAUCAGUGAUCGGUGCUGCUGUCAGUGAUCCGUGCCAUCAUCUGUGAUGCUGGUCGUGCGCUGAAAAGGUGCUAGUUCUGUUCAAUCCUAGCCGGGAUCUAUUUCCGGGUGAUGCUCUACACGGACGAGAUGGACGCCGAGUCGGACCGGCGACCGGACCGACGGCGCCAUCCACUUCGGCUGGCUCAGGUGAUGGAUGAGGUCUUCACCGCCGGGGGAAGCACCUGAUAACGGUCACAUCAGGCCGUCCCCACAGGCCACCACAUGAGUUGUCAGGGAUAAGGGCUCGGCGGGGAUGGGCGUCGACCGCGGAGAGUACCGUUGCGUGUAUUUGCUUGUGUGGAUAGGUCCCGAUUUACUCAAUGACUUCGCUAUUUCAAGUUUGCUAUCGCAUGCAGUUAUUCAACUAUGAACACAUUUUUAUCGAAGCAAACGGGUAUCUGUAAUAUAUGUGUCUUCAUACGUGUUUCGUAUGUUGUAAGGUGCUUAUUAGGGACAGGGUUGUUG